UCCAGACUCCUACGGGAGGCAGCAGUAGGGAAUCUUUCACAAUGGGCGAAAGCCUGAUGGAGCAACGCCGCGUGCAGGAUGAAGGCCUUCGGGUUGUAAACUGCUUUUAUAAGCGAGAAAUAUGAUGGUAACUUAUGAAUAAGGAUCGGCUAACUACGUGCCAGCAGCCGCGGUAAUACGUAGGUGGCAAGCGUUAUCCGGAAUGAUUGGGCGUAAAGGGUGCGCAGGCGGCGCGGCAAGUCUGAAGUGAAAGGUACGGGCUCAACCUGUACAGGCUUUGGAAACUGCCACGCUCGAGGACAGGAGAGGGCGGUGGAACUCCAUGUGUAGCGGUAAAAUGCGUAGAUAUAUGGAAGAACACCAGUGGCGAAGGCGGCCGCCUGGACUGUUACUGACGCUCAGGCACGAAAGCGUGGGGAGCAAAUAGGAUUAGAUACCCGAGUAC
rnacentral:rRNA from 1 species